rnacentral:misc_RNA from 1 species
UGCUGGUCGUGCUGCUGCUCCAGUUGCGUGGACGGCCCUGGGCAGCGGCUGUCUGGGCCGUCGGCGCGGUGCUGAUCGGGGCCUGUCUGAUUGCCGUUUUCCUCCUGGCAGGGUCGGAAACCUGGCCUCCGGACUGGCACAGGCUGAUCCCUCCGAGUUUGGCGGAGCCGACGCUGGGUGCGGCCGGCCGGAUUGGCCGCGUCUUCUACGGGAUCUUCCGAACCGUCGCCUGGCUGGCCCCAGCUUCCGAGCUGACCAAGCCGUUCGCGGCUGGCUACCUUGCCGCUUUCCUGUCCG